GACGAACCGUGCAAACGUUGUUCGGAUUCAUUGGGCGUAAAGGGUGCGUAGGCGGCGCGGUAAGUCGGGUGUGAAAUCUCGGGGCUUAACUCCGAAACUGCAUUCGAUACUGCCGUGCUUGAGGACUGGAGAGGAGACUGGAAUUUACGGUGUAGCGGUGAAAUGCGUAGAUAUCGUAAGGAAGACCAGUGGCGAAGGCGGGUCUCUGGACAGUUCCUGACGCUGAGGCACGAAGGCCAGGGGAGCAAACGGG
rnacentral:rRNA from 1 species